rnacentral:pre_miRNA from 1 species
AGUGGAGUUGCUGGGCCUUAAGUUUGUGUUUAGCUAUUUUAGAAGCUGCCAGGCUUUCCCAAAGUGGUUGUACCACUUUACAUUCCCUCCAGCAGU